rnacentral:lncRNA from 1 species
GUUGAAGGGCCAACUUGAGAACCUCAUCUGAACUAAGCAUGUCUUCUGUCGUGAAGUGGGAACCACAUCAUGAGGCUGCAGGCAGACACUGCCUAGGUGGAAGCUCUGCUCUGUGAAGGAGGUAAGAAAUCAAUGCCCAAGACGGGUGUAUGUAGGGCAACACAUUUCAGUGUUUUAAAAGCAUUUUAAGCAGUAUGUAAAGUUGAGGGUAAUCCCGUACUGCAAGUUAUGAUUUAUCCUUUGGAAUCUCGUUCGUCUGAAACCCUGUUGAAAGACUUUGAAACUGAUGCUUGCAGAUUUACCUUACCAGUGGUUUGCCAUGUUCAGGGACUUGACUCUCAAAAUAAUGGAGCUUUUCCCUUUUUGCAGAAUUGGCUGCUUGGAUCUGCACAGGCAUCAUGACUUGGACCUACUCCUGAGGCAUGCCACCCCCUGACUGGAUUUGAGGUGCCAGUUAAUUCUGGUCCUGACCAUCUGUCCUAAAAUGGUGAGUUUGUUUUUAUCCCCUUAAACUCCUGACUGUAUUUUACA